UAUACGCAUAGCACACUUUUCCUUUCUCUCCCUCUCGCACGUCUCUGCCCAAGCCAGUUGACCACUUUCUGUCUGUUAGGGAGCCGCACGCGCCACACCAUACCACACCACAAGGAAGCGCGGCCACCAAAACCCUUUCUCCAUAUCCACGCCUAUGAACGCACCAUCCUCCACCGCUGGUUGCUUGUCGAAGUCGUGCGCCUCUGUGAGAUUCGAGGAGUUUUCCGGCCAACUCCGUCCUCCAUUUAUGGAGCCAGUUGCACGGUUGGAUUCAGCUCUUCUUUAGGUUCAAAACCCUCUCAAGGAUCGAACCCUUAGAUUGUCGAAGUCAUCGUCAGUUCUUUGAUGGUGCUAGGUUCUUGCGAGGCAGCGGGAGAUAAGUUCUCUUGUGGUUACGAAAACGGGAAGUGGGAAAUGUUGGCGAAGCUUUCAGGGAAGAUGGGCUCGACUUCGAUUUGGACGGGGCUAUUUUGCAAAUAAUAUGUUUUAUUCAUUUUUUAUGUAGAUCAGUUCACUUAAUAUUAUUGCCUUUCUCUUGAUAUUGACAUUUUCAUUUAUUAAUGCAACAUAUUGAAUCAAAUUUGUUAAUGAUUACCUUUGUAACAAAUUGAUAUGCUUUCUCCUAUUUUUGCCGAUUCUGAGGUUGAUGUAAUAUGUGAGGAUAAUGUACAAAUUAGGGUAAAGGGAGCAUUUUUAUUGAUAUUGUUUGUAAUUUUUGCCAAUUGGUUUAUGGUCCCUUUCAAUUUGCGACACCAGUUUAUUGGAAUGAUUUAUGGAUUUAAAAUGAAUGAUUUCUUUUUUCUUAUUAUUUUUAAAAUAGAUUUUGGGAGAUGAAAAGAAUGGAAAUGGAUUAAGCAAACAAUGAUAUUCGCGGCAAAGCAGUUAAGAAGAGUCUUAGCAGCAUUCUAGCAAGUGGGUUUUAUUUAAAAAUGCGUGUUAGAUUUAAAAUUGUUCAUAAAUCUUAUUAUUUGCACAUAUUGAUAUGGUAAAUAACUUAAAUGUAUCGAAAACUAUAUUUUAUGCAAUAAGAAAAUUUGAAAACUAACAUUGGGUGGGGCUUUGGUAUGAUUUAUGCUUAGUUAGUUGUGGCAGAGGAGUUGGUUUGUAGUAAUUAGUUGGAGGAUGCCAAUAGGGCCCUCUUGUGGGGUGCCAAAGGUACGUGGCUUGAGAGCUAUUGUUGAGGUCUAUGACCUUUUAAUAGUUGAAGAUUGGGAAAUGGGUAUUGAUUUCUACCGAAUAAAUUGAGCUACUGAAUUUGUUUUAAGUAUUUCUUAAGCAAGAUUUUUAAUGACCAUAAAGGUUAAUAUUUUGUUGUGAUGUUGUGGGAUUCUUAGAUUAAUAAAAAAGAAACUACAUAUAUUGUCUUUCUAGUUAGAGUUAUUAUAAAAUAUUGUGAGCAAUUAAUGAUUGUAAUUUGUUUCGUAAACCAAAUUGAUAAGGAAUAGAAUAUAUGGUACAUUGCAUUGUAGUGGAUUAUAUUUUAUUAUGGUUAUUGUAUUAGAUGAUUGUUUGAUCUUUGUGGAAUUUUGCAGCGAUGCAAACAUUUUGAGAUUGGCGGGGACAAAAAUGGAAGGGCACUUCUCUUUGAUUGUUUUUUAUGAGUUUUAGAUAUGCUUGAAUGAUUUCAUUUUGUAGACUCUUAGAUCUGAUUUUGAUUUACAAGUGAGGGCUCAGCAUGGCAAACAAUACUCCCCAUUUUGGAUUGUACAGAAAUUGAUAGGCCAUUCUCUACAAGAGGUGAUUGCAGCUCUUUCUUCUUCAGACAGACAAUAAGUGAAGAUGAUGGCUCAAUAACUGUAGAGAAUGACAACUAUGAACAAAUGGAAGAUUCGACUUCUAGUGACAAAGCCUGUAACUUGGCCUCCUUAAAUUUGGGGAGUAGUUUGUGGAGCUGCUGCUUCUGCCUCAAUUCUUUGAUCUUAUUGGUACCCAUUAUUUAUGAGAUAGACCAGCAUCCUUAUUAGAACACUUUCUACAAUGGUACUAUUGAAGUUGUUGAGGCUGGUGGAUAGUGCACAACUGAAGAAUGAGGUGCAUUAUUUUGGAUGGAUGCUCAUCAUGAAACAGUGACACAAUUUGUUUGAAUAAAUUUGCUGAAUUAGUGUAUUCAAGACUGUAAUACUUUUUGGAUAUUAAUAUUUUAGCUUUUAAGUAGCUAAAUUAUAGGAAUGCAAAAUAAUAUGUUUCAACUUAA